UGUCAGACUGUAAAUCGUUUGUAAGGUCACAGAGUUGCGCCUGGAUCUUCGAGAAAGACCUCCUGACACAUCCAGACACACCCAAAAUUGUUAUUUUCUAGUCCUUCUGGUUUAAUCCAAGCCCCGUGAGCAUAUUGUUUCAAGAUGCAAUUUUAACACAGUAGGCUGUGCUGAAGCGGAAAAGGAGCUGCAUUAGGAGGCCAGCUGGUUGGUAAGCGUGAGAUUCCUUAAGUGAAGGAGAUACAAAGAGCUGGGAGAAGUUACCUCAAGAGGACACCUCACUGCAAGAAUGGGAUUUGUAGCAAGAGCUUUAUGUUUAUGUUUAUGUG